CAAGAAAUUCAGUUGGGGUCAAAGAGGGCCAGUCACAGACCAACAGUUUGACCAAAAGUGAACAAGGAGGAAGCAUAUUCCAUAUGAAGGUCGAGAUGACUUAACUCACACCCCCUCUUUGUGUACACCUCUUUGUGUACCACACAGAUAUAAUAUUAAUAGGCUUUUGAAGAUUUAUUGUGCAUGUAUAGCACGGUUGUCUAGGGGUGUAUACAUAAACAGUGAAAGCAGAGUCUUCAUAUAGGGUUUGCAAUACUGACAGUCUGGGUCAUAGGUGUAAUGCAGACAUGCGGUUAGGAACUUUUCCAUUGUCAGAACACUAAUAUAUUGCAAAUAUUAAAAUCAUAUUGCAGCUGUUUCC
rnacentral:lncRNA from 1 species